rnacentral:misc_RNA from 1 species
AUGUCCAUGAGACUGCAGCUGGGGCUCUCUGGAAUCUUGCUUUCAACCCUGGUAAUGCUUUCCGUAUAGUGGAGGAAGGGGGAGUUCCUGCCCUUGUUCAUCUUUGUUCGUCAUCUAUCUCAAAAAUGGCACGCUUUAUGGCUGCAUUGGCGUUGGCUUAUAUGUUUGAUGGAAGAAUGGAUGGAGUUGCAGUUGUGGGAACCUCUUCAGAAAGCAACUCUAAGAGUGUAAACUUAGAUGGAGCUCGAAGAAUGGCUUUAAAGAACAUUGAAGCUUUUAUUCUUGCAUUUUCUGAUCCACAAGCAUUUUCUGCUGCUGCUGCGUCAUCUGUCCCUGCAGCUUUGACUCAAGUUACAGAAUCAGCUCGUAUUCAUGAGGCAGGUCAUCUUAGGUGCAGUGGAGCUGAGAUCGGCAGAUUCGUUACAAUGUUACGUAAUUCGUCUUCUAUUCUGAAAGCAUGUGCUGCAUUUGCCCUUCUUCAGUUCACAAUCCCUGGUGGUCGUCAUGCACAACAUCAUGUCCGCCUAUUGCAGAACACUGGAG